CAACCGAGCGCAACCCUUGUCUUUAAUUGCCAUCAUUUAGUUUGGGGCACUUUAAAGAGACUGCCGGUGUUAAGCCGGAGGAAAGGUGGGGAUGACGUCAAGUCCUCAUGGCCUUUAUGCCCAGGGCUACACACGUGCUACAAUGGGCGGUACAAAGAGAAGCAACCUCGCGAGGGUGAGCAAAUCUCAAAAAGCCGUUCUCAGUUCGGAUUGAAGUCUGCAACUCGACUUCAUGAAGUCGGAAUCGCUAGUAAUCGCGGAUCAGCAUGCCGCGGUGAAUACGUUCCCGGGCCUU
rnacentral:rRNA from 1 species